rnacentral:rRNA from 1 species
UGAGGAAUCUUCCACAAUGGACGAAAGUCUGAUGGAGCGACACCGCGUGAAGGAAGAAGGUCUAACGAUUGUAAACUUCUUUUCUGAGGGAGCAUAAUGAGAGUACCUUAGGAAUAAGGGACGGCAAAAUACGUGCCAGCAGCCGCGGUAAUACGUAUGUCCCGAGCAUUAUCCGGAAUUACUGGGUGUAAAGGGUUUGUAGGUGGUUUGUUAAGUUGGAUAUGAAAGACCGAAGCUUAACUUCGAGUUUGUAUUCAAAACUGACUGACUAGAAUUAGGGAGAGGUAAGCGGAAUUUUAAGUGUAGGGGUGCAAUCCGUAGAUACUUAGAAGAACACCAAAAGCGAAGGCAGCUUACUGGAACUAAAUUGACACUGAAAAACGAAAGCAUGGGGAGCAAA